ACCAUGAGGUGGAAUCUGAAGGAAGCCAGCGGCAAACUUCCGGCCUGAGGAACACGAACUUCAUAGGAGGCUAACACUUAUUGGAUGAGCUUGCAUAACAAAGCAAAGUCCUUGCUACCGAAGGUGAGUGGGAGUAAAUGAAGCAGGUACAUGGAAGGAAAGAAUG
rnacentral:ncRNA from 1 species